rnacentral:lncRNA from 1 species
UAGUGCGCGCGCCUUGCGCGAAAGGCUGGACCUUCUGUUGGCACAGUUCAUCGCAAACGACCGCGCCAGCCUCAGAAAGUCUGGUACCGAAGAAGAGUACGAGGAAAAAGAAAGGCUGCUACAGGAGAUAUGCAGCCUCGCAAAAGACUUCGGCUACAAGGUCAAAAGCCGCAAAGCGCAGUCCUCUGUGGGUCAGAGGGUCAGUGCGGCUGUGACCCGCGACACUGCCGCUGCUACGUUGGUGCCAGCGUCGCAAGUCGCCUUCGAGCCACUCAGCGCAGAUGCAAGUUGUGACGACGCAUCUCAAAGUGCUGCAGACCUACUGGAGAGAAUUCUACAGGGCACC